rfam:Danio rerio chromosome 14, GRCz11 reference primary assembly.
UCCGGCAGCUAGCUCUCUGCAACUCUCAAGUUCACCCACUGAAGCUAAGCAGGGCAGCGCCUGGUCAGUACCUGGAUGGGAGGCCACAUGUGGAAGCUAGGUUGCUGCUGUAA